UCAAACUUGGUCAUUUAGAGGAAGUAAAAGUCGUAACAAGGUUUCCGUAGGUGAACCUGCGGAAGGAUCAUUAAUGAGUUUUGAAAGCGGGGGUCUGCUGCUGGCGUGGAGACGCGCACGUGCACGACUCUGCGCUCGAUCUAUUUCACCCCUGUGCACUUUUGCAAGGUGAAUAGGCCGUCGCCCUCUAAAGCGCUUGGUGACGAGUAAGGAGAGCGUGCGUAAGCGCCAGUAUCCUGAAAGUCGAAAGGGCUUUGCCGUUUGAAGCGUCCAGCGAGUAAGGUGAAGGUGGGUAAGCUCGCCCGUAGCCUGAAAGUGAACGUCCUUCUUUCGGUGAGCGCGGUCGAAAGCUUUGAUUCUUUGUCAACCCUUUGUGUCUUGUGAAUGCGUCGCCCCUCGUGGGUGAAAUGAAAUACAACUUUCAACGACGGAUCUCUUGGCUCUCGCAUCGAUGAAGAACGCAGC
rnacentral:misc_RNA from 1 species